rnacentral:rRNA from 1 species
ACAUCCAGCGAACUUGGCAGAGAUGCCUUGGUGCCCUUCGGGAACGCUGAGACAGGUGCUGCAUGGCUGUCGUCAGCUCGUGUUGUGAAAUGUUGGGUUAAGUCCCGNAACGAGCGCAACCCUUAUCCUUUGUUGCCAGCGAUUCGGUCGGGAACUCAAAGGAGACUGCCGGUGAUAAACCGGAGGAAGGUGGGGAUGACGUCAAGUCAUCAUGGCCCUUACGAGUAGGGCUACACACGUGCUACAAUGGCGCAUACAAAGAGAAGCGACCUCGCGAGAGCAAGCGGACCUCAUAAAGUGCGUCGUAGUCCGGAUCGGAGUCUGCAACUCGACUCCGUGAAGUCGGAAUCGCUAGUAAUCGUGGAUCAGAAUGCCACGGUGAAUACGUUCCCGGGCCUUGUACACACCGCCCGUCACACCAUGGGAGUGGGUUGCAAAAGAAGUAGGUAGCUUAACCUUCGGGAGGGCGCUUACCACUUUGUGAUUCAUGACUGGGGUGAAGUCGUAACAAGGUAAGCGUAGCGAG